ACCUAAUGGUAAAUAAAUGAACUGUGCAAAUAUGUGCAUUUUGGAGCUUAAGGCCUCAAAAUGACUUAGUAAUGGUUUUGUGGACUACCAUCCGCAGGAUCCCUCAGCCAGGCAGUAUGAAGGAAGUGCACCAGAGAAGAGCUGUGAUAUUACUACCAUGCAGUGUCAGCAGGAAAAAAAUAGCAGAUUAAAGGCCUCACUCAGAAAGGCAUGUGUCUGCAUGCAAGUGUUCUGCCUCUCUAUCUGCACAUUCAAUUCUCAAAACUUGCAAAAUUAAUCUUAUUUCAAGCAGACACAUGAUUCCCUUCAUUAUCUACCUUUCAAUCAAUCUCCACAAGUGAUUCAGGAAUGGCAAAGAGGAAAGGAAAAAUCUUAUAGUGCUUCAUGUUCUAUGAGACUCAAUGAGAAUUUUCAAAGUGGCAAUGGCUUGAAUACUUUAAAAGUACUAGAUCCCAUUGGAUCUUGAAAGCUAUGCAGGGUAACUUGUAAUUAGUACUUGGAUGGGAGACUGCCAACAGAUUCCAUGCGCUGCAGGCUAUAUUAGAGAGAAAGAAACUGGCAGGACAACCUCUGAAUAUUCCUUGCCUAAGAGCAUCCUACGAAAUGUAUGGGGUCCCUAUACGUCAACAGACAACAUGAAGAUAUACACACAUAGGCCACCAUGUUGUGGCAUACUUCAAAUUCAUUUCAACAUGAACAAUCUACUUCCCCAGAUCCCCAGGGCAUAAUUUGAGACUCUAACCCAGACCAUGUGCACUGAGCAUAUAUAUCAGAACCUCUAAAAUAAUAUCCCAUGUAUCUGAGGAAGUGGAUAGCUAUCUACCUAGACCCGUGGUUCUCAACCUGUGGGUCCCAAGGUGUUUUGGCCUACAACUCCCAGAAAUCCCAGCCAGUUUACUAGCUGUUAGGAUUUCUGGGAGUUGAAGGCCAAAACAUUUAGAGACCCACCGACUGAGGACCACUGACCUAGAAUUAUGUUAAAAUGAAUGUACUGUUCUUACCAUAAAACUCUUUGUUGGUAUAGUGAAGGCCCACAUAACCUUUGGACUUCAGCUCCAAGAAUUCUUGACCAUUAGACAAACUGGUUAAGGCUUCUGUGAGCUGGAGUUCCAAACACCUGAAGGACCACAAGUUGUGCAGGCCUGUUGUAGUGGUAUAAUUAUUGCUGACAGAAACAGGAGGGCAUGAAGCCUAAUCUCAAUUCAAUGAAGCAGCAGUACAGAGCAAAUGUUUGCUCAAUAAACUUUCAACUUAUGCCCAGGCUUAAAGACCAUGUGAGUUCAUCAUAGGUGCAUGGUUUGUUCCAAAUGACCUAUACUCCAAUUGAUAUUACAAGAGGGGAAGCAGUGAAAGUAUCUGCAGUUAUCACUACAGUUGCAUCAUCUUUUAAAAUGCUUUAGAAAUACUGAACGUCUUUCACAUAGUCCUAGUAAACAUUCUGCCUUCCCAUCCUAUUCUUGAGUAACUUUGAUGAAACAAUUGAUUCUUGGCUUUUCCUCUCCCUUAGUUAGUGUCCUAUGCUUUUAGGCUGGCGUCCUUGUCCACUUCUGUGGCUGAUCUUUCAGUCUCUGAGAACCAUUCUUUCCCUGACAUGAUCACAGCGAUAAUAGCAUUUCCUUUUUAAGAACAGAGGCUCAGCAGAGCCUCUGUUCUUAAAAUCAGGUCUAGGGUUAUCUGUGAAAUUUCACUUAAAUCGCAAGCUUUGAUAAUUCGAUAAGUUGCCUGUCAUUUUGAGUCAAAACACAAGGUUAUUUGAUCUCCUGUUUGCAUUUCUGGGGGCAGAGUGCAUCAAAGACCAUCAGCGUAGACAGGUUGAAAGAUUAGUUGUAUGGUGGUAACUCAACCAAGCAGCUUUUGGAUAUACUCACUGCCCAUUACAAAGUGAUUAUCUACCAUUUACUUAUGGAGCUUUAUCUUUUUGAUUAUGGUUACUAAUGACUCUGAAAGGCACUAACUUAACUUGAAAGAAAUGAAGAUUCUGAAAAUAAUAGAAAGACUGUUCAGAUCUUUUCUUGAGUGAACCUUCAAUGGUUUAGAAGUUGCUUUAGAUCAGUGGUUCCCAACCUUUUUUGACCAGGGCCCACUUGACCAGGGACCCCUUUGACCGGGGACCACUCUCCAACAUUACUACCAGUUAUGAAUCAGUUUUUAGUUAAGUUUAGAUGAAGUUUGGGUAUUUGGGUGUUGAUUCAGAAAAUUGCAUUGGAUAGACCACAUCAGUUUUAGUUUCUGAUACAGAACAUAUGCCAUCCAGUAGUUGCCAUCUGCUUGCCCACAGAAAACCAUAUUUAAUAAUCUAGAGCCAAUGUGGCCUAUCCAAUGCAAUGGUCAGCUCUGCGGAAAGAAGUGGAAACAAAAUAAAUAAAAUAAAAUAAAUAAAGAGGAAGGAGUUUCGCUGACCGGAUUUUCAUUCUCGUGGCCCACUACUGAGCCACAGCCCACAGGUUGAAAACCACUGCUUUAGAUGCAUGUAGAAACCUAAGGACCUUAAAGCAGACACCUCUUCGUCUACAGUAUGCCAUAUUUUCUUUCUUUUCUUCAUUUACUAUUUCAUUUCUUCACUUACAAUUUCAUCUAAUCCAGGCAUUAGAACAAGCUGAUAUUGAGAGGGUCAUUUUAAAAACCUGCAGACAUCAUUGCCACUGCUCCCUUAUCCACCGAUCUCCAACUGCCUUUGCUUCUACUUCCACUAUUCUCCAUCAUCUUCCUACUGCAACCAUUGUGGAGGCCAGAUUUUUUUUGGGGGGGGGGGAUGCUGCUGCAGUGGUGCCUCUUGCUAAACGGGCCAGUAGAACCUUGGAUAAGCAAAUAUCUUGGAUAAUAAGGAGGGAUUGAGGAAAAGCCUAUUAAACAUCAAAUUAGGUUAUGAUUUUACAAAUUAAGCACCAAAACAUCAUGUUAUACAACAAAAUUGACAGAAAGGUACUUCAAUACACAGUAAUGUUAUGUUGUAAUUACUGUAUUUAUGAAUUUAGCACCAAAAUAUCACGAUAUAUUGAAAACAUUGACUACAAAAAUGCAUUGGAUAAUCCAGAAGCUUGGAUAAGCGAGUCUUGGAUAAGUGAGACUCUACUGUACCUGAAAAUAUAUGUAAAAGGGCUGCUUUUUUUAAUGGCUCAGAAAACACAGUGAUAGGUCACCUUAGGUCUCCAAAAGUCAUAAAUUACUCAAAGGCACACAACAAAAUGAACCAUCCAAUCUUACAUGCCAUCUAGAAUGUGAAUGGCAAUUGAUCCUACUCCUGCUAAUGUUACUGGUAUCUUCUGGAGGAGAGUAUCAACAAGGAAUGAGUAGUGUUGAUAAAUUGCAUAGGUCAAACAUAAUUUCAGGCUGUCAGAGUUGUUGAAAAAGUUCCUGUAUCUCUGGUAUAUGUUACAGUUCUAUCCAUGUAAAUCAGACCUUAAUCUAAUCCUAAUCGCGUAACAGAAUAGUGUUUCUUAUAUAAAAGAGCAAAAACAAG